GAUGAACGCUAGCGGCGUGCCUAACACAUGCAAGUCGAACGUGAGAGGGUACUUGUAUCCUUGAAAGUGGCGGACGGGUGAGUAAGACGUAGGUGACCUGCCUUGAAGUGGGGGAUAACCAUUGGAAACGAUGGCUAAUACCGCAUAAGCUGGUGAUGAUGGGAAUCGUUAUCAGGAAAGCUUUAGUGCUUUGAGAGGGGCCUACGGCCGAUUAGCUAGUUGGUGAGGUAAAGGCUCACCAAGGCGAUGAUCGGUAGCUGGUCUGAGAGGACGAUCAGCCACACGGGAACUGAGACACGGUCCCGACUCCUACGGGGGGCAGCAGUGAGGAAUAUUCGGCAAUGGGGGCAACCCUGACCGAGCAACGCCGCGUGGAGGAUGACGGUUUUCGGAUUGUAAACUCCUUUUCUCAGGGAAGAGCGAGGACGGUACCUGGGGAAUAAGUCACGGCUAACUACGUGCCAGCAGCCGC
rnacentral:rRNA from 1 species